GGAGCGGAGACGUCGUCCUCGCCGCCCAGCUGAGCGUUCCGGUCCGCGGGAUGGGUUUGCGUUGGGAGCCUCGGACUGAAGCCGUGCGUGGCGGGAAUGUUGUUUUUAAGAAAAAUGAAUAAAAGCCACUUAUUUUGAGAAAGCUAUGGCAAGAUCGAACACGAAACACAGAGUUUAUUCUCAGGAGUCUUCAGUAUCAUCUCUCCUGGCAAGCUGCAGUUUGGAUAGCAGUAUUUCCUCCAACCCUGAUGGCUCUUUCCACUAUAAGAAUAAGCUAUACCGGUCUGCUUCUCAGGCUCUACAGGCCUAUAUUGAUGAUUUUGAUCUGAGUCAAAUAUAUCCUGGUGCAAGCACUGGAAAAGUUAACAUUGAACGUUCUGCUAAUAUGUCACGAUUCUCCAACUGUGGUUAUAAAACAAACAAAGCUUUUGAAAAUCUUGAUCGCAAACAGCAUUCGAAUUCAUUAUCUUAUAGAAGAGAGACUAUUAAUGACAUAGACUCUGUUAGCCUAACAACUGAUGACCUGUUAAGACUCCCAGCAGAUGGGUCCUUUUCCCUGGCUUAUGUUAGACAAGGUCAUCGACCAAGCAAGAAAAGUAAGAAAUACAUGGGAAGACCAGGUUCAUUGGAAAGGAAUCCAAAUUUUCAAGAAUCCUCCACUCCCACGGGCAAGGAUAACUUAGAUGUUUCUAUUGUAAACAUGAAUAUAAAUGGAAAGCAAUGUGCUAGGCCAAAAACCCCCAAAUUUUUGAAUAGGACUAAUAAAAUUUCAAUUUCAGAACCAUCUUUUCUCCAAGAAUCAUCUUUCAAGGACAGUUUGGAGCACAAUCCUGAAAAGAAUUAUCCAAGGUGGCUCACUAGCCAGAAAUCUGACUUGAAUGUUUCUGGGAUAACAAGCUUGCCUGAUUUCAAAUAUCCAGUCUGGCUCCACAAUCAAGACUUGCUACCUGAUGGAGAUAGUCAAGAAGUUUAUAGAAUGUUGAAAGAAGAUCGUUGUUCCCCCAGACAUAGCUACCAAGCACAAAGAACUUCUCGGUUUAAAAUGGAUUGUUGUGAAUAUUCUUUUGAGCCCUCAAACUUUUCAAAUUCCUUGAGUGAUGCUAAAGGAUUACAUAACAAAUACAAAUGUGAUUCUGAACAUGGCCAGGGUCAGUGUGACAAUCCACCUCUUUCAGAACAAUCCAAAAAGCCAUUCAGUGGUGACAAAAUUGAAUUGCUUAUCCUGAAGGCCAAGAGAAAUCUAGAGCAGUGUUCUGAAGAAUUAUCCGUACCUGUGAACAACGAUAACAGUCCUUGCUCAUUGGAGAAACUUGAAGCAGAAAGAUCCUGGGACAAUGUUCCUGUUACUUUCAAAUCUCCUGUUCCUGUUAAUUCUGAUAGUCCUCAAGAAGCUUCAAAGGCAAAGAGUGAUAAAGAUUUUCUUGAAUACUUUCUAAAUAAUGAUAGUCAGAGUUCUACCCUUUCUGGUGGCAAACAUCAUGGUCCUGUUGAAGCGUUAAAACAAAUGUUAUUUAAUCUUCAAGCAGUUCAAGAAAGUUUCAGUCAGAAUAAAGCUGCAGAAACAAAAGAAGACAUUAAACAAUUUCUACAACCUCCCAGAACAGUUUACCAGAUAGGGAGGGACCAAGCAGUCAAUACAUGAGCAGGUUUCAGAAGAUGAAUUCACUAAAUUACAGUUGAAGGAAAAUAUGAUUCCUAUUACUAGGUCUCUUCAAAAGGCCUUGCAUCAUUUAUCUCGCCUGAGAGACCUGGUUGAUACCAGUGGAAGACAGUCACCGAAAAUUUGAAGAGGAAAAUAAAACUGUCACCACAAUAAAUAAAAACCACAGGAUAAAUUA